UACCUGCAGCUCGAGUGGUAACCGCUAUUAUUGGGCCUAAAGCGUCCGUAGCCGGUUUGGUAAAUAUCUGGGUAAAUCGUGAGGCUUAACUUCACGAAUUUCGGAUAGACUGCCAGACUUGGGAUCGGGGGAGGUCAGAGGUACUCCAGGGGUAGCGGUGAAAUGUUGUAAUCCUUGGAGGACCACCGGUAGCGAAGGCGUCUGACUAGAACGAGUCCGACGGUGAGGGACGGAGCCCUGGGGCGCAAACCGGAUUAGAUACCCGGGUAGUCCAGGGUGUAAACAAUGUGGGCUUUGUAUUGGAGGUCCCACGUGGGCGUCCAGUGCAGAAGAGAAGUUGUUAAAGCCCACCGCCUGGGAAGUACGGUCGCAAGGCUGAAACUUAAAGGAAUUGGCGGGGAGCACAGCAACGGGAGGAGCGUGCGGUUU
rnacentral:rRNA from 1 species